AUGUAGGCAGCGAGCGUUGUUCGGAAUUACUGGGCGUAAAGAGUGUGUAGGCGGUGUUCCAAGUCUGGUGUGAAAUCUCCCGGCUUAACUGGGAGGGCGCGCCGGAAACUGGAAUGCUAGAGGGUGGGAGAGGUAAGCGGAAUUCCUGGUGUAGCGGUGAAAUGCGUAGAGAUCCGGAAGAACACCGGUGGCGAAGGCGGCCUGCUGGGCAGUUGCUGACGCUGAGGCGCGACAGCGUGGGGAGCAAACAGGA
rnacentral:rRNA from 1 species